rnacentral:lncRNA from 1 species
AUAAGCUCUCAAAGGAUAUAGUCCCAUCUAGAUCAUGAAUACAUUACUCCUGUUGAUAUUUUAUUUCCCUGUUGACAUUUUAUUUCCCCCUCAAAGUUUCAAGUGAUUAAAUGUAUCUAAAAUGUUUAUAUAACUUUAUAAAGUAAUACUAUCAAAACUACUCACAUCAAUGAAAGUUCCCAAUUUUGGUCGGCGGGGGGUGUGGGGGCUCAGAGAACAAUAACCAAGUAUAGUGCUCUGGCAGGCUGAGUACUUUUGAAUUAAAGGAAAUUGGAAGGACUUAGAAGCUGCCUCAGAAUGAAGGACUUUCUAACCUUUUUUUGUUUUUCUCCUGCCAAGUACAGGGAGGCAUUCUCCCUGGAAGUUCCCUUGUCUGACUGGGAAAAACUUCUUCCAAAAGAAAUGCAAUUGUCUUGUAACCUCUUUAGGAAUAUUAUCAAAUAACCAGAAAAGAUUAACCACCAGAGAGGAGAAAAGACUAAAAGUCAUCACCAUGUGCAGACAAACUUUUCACCUAUUCUUCUAAGGGUAGCUCUGAGAGAUUACCUGGGAGACGGUAUCUGCAUAAUAAGAAAAACCUUUGUUCACAGUGAAGCUCCUUUUCUAACCUUCUUGAGGUUAAUUGCCAUCUCUCUUAAUGAGCUCAGAGAAACAUUGUCCCAGGUCAUUGUUUAUUCUUGAGGUCCCGUUCAGUAUUAAAAGAGAAUUAUUUACAAACUAUUGUCUGUUCCUUGGGCCCAGAUUAAGUCUUCUAAAAAUCAUUUACCACACCCUCAAAAUUGCUUACAUUCCUCCAUCUCCCUCUCCCUUAUGAAGAGGGCACUAUUUAAGCUUUAAUCAUUCAGCUCUUCUUUGAGUCAUAUUUUGUAUGGCUCCUAUAUACAUUUGAACAUUAGUAAAACUGUAUAUUGUUUUCCCCUGUUAAUCUAUUUUCAAUUUAUUUUAGCAGACCAGAUUUACCCGUACCCUACCUAAUAUUUUCCCUUUGACAAUAAAGCUUUUAGAAAAUAAUAGAUGUUUGAUACAUAUUUGUCAGUAUUGAAUUGAAACUAACUUGAAUUGGGGAAUUUAUCAGAGUUAUUUUUGAUCUACUAAGAAUAACAUCUUACAACCUUUCUUGCUACAUCACCAAUAGUGCAGUAAAUAGGUGUUCAGAAUUUAUGUUCCUGUUACAGUAGGUAGCUAAUCAGCCAUGAGCAGGACAGGAAAGGGCUCCCCCUACCCACCAGGAAUGUCAGGCAACCAUCAGGUGAUAGUCCUGCAGUUGUUACAUUGCUUCUCUAAAAUGAUAAUUGGUCACAGCGGGUGCCAGGGAGAGGAAAUUUCCCAGUAGAUAGAGACACCUGAAAUUGGUGAUCGGUAGCUUCCAAUAAGAUCUCAGGAACUGGGUGAGUGGGCUUGAGCAUGCACAUUAAAAGGAAAAAUGGCACAGUAUGACCUUCUGGGGGCACUGCACUGGAAAAGAAAAAAAAGUCUCAGGAGACAAGAAUUAAGGUUGUUGCAGACCCAUACUGAUUCGUCGCUGGUGACUUGGAUACUCUCCACCACUUACUGUCAUGCGCGUCCAUGUGAAGAGACCACCAAACAAGCUUAGUAAUAAAGCUUUUUAAUCACCUGGGUGCAGGAAGGCUGAGUCCAAAAAGAGAGUCAGCGAAGGGAGUUAGGGGUUGGGCCGUUUUAUA